GGGCGUUAAGUUGCAGGGUAUAGACCCGAAACCCGGUGAUCUAGCCAUGGGCAGGUUGAAGGUUGGGUAACACUAACUGGAGGACCGAACCGACUAAUGUUGAAAAAUUAGCGGAUGACCUGUGGCUGGGGGUGAAAGGCCAAUCAAACCGGGAGAUAGCUGGUUCUCCCCGAAAGCUAUUUAGGUAGCGCCUCGUGAAUUCAUCUCCGGGGGUAGAGCACUGUUUCGGCUAGGGGGCCAUCCCGGCUUACCAACCCGAUGCAAACUGCGAAUACCGGAGAAUGUUAUCACGGGAGACACACGGCGGGUGCUAACGUCCGUCGUGAAGAGGGAAACAACCCAGACCGCCAGCUAAGGUCCCAAAGUCAUGGUUAAGUGGGAAACGAUGUGGGAAGGCCCAGACAGCCAGGAUGUUGGCUUAGAAGCAGCCAUCAUUUAAAGAAAGCGUAAUAGCUCACUGGUCGAGUCGGCCUGCGCGGAAGAUGUAACGGGGCUAAACCAUGCACCGAAGCUGCGGCAGCGACGCUGAUGCGUUGUUAGGUAGGGGAGCGUUCUGUAAGCCUGCGAAGGUGACCUGUGAGGGUUGCUGGAGGUAUCAGAAGUGCGAAUGCUGACAUAAGUAACGAUAAAGCGGGUGAAAAGCCCGCUCGCCGGAAGACCAA
rnacentral:rRNA from 1 species